UGGGGCUGUAUGUGGCCCACAACUGAUUUUUUCUGUGGGGCAGUGGCCCCUGAUGGAAAAAAGAUUCCUCACCCCUGCUUGAAAAGGUAUGUUAUGUCGGU